AUACGAAGGGGGCAAGCGUUGUUCGGAAUAACUGGGCGUAAAGCGCACGUAGGCGGAAUGUUAAGUUAGAGGUGAAAUCCCAGGGCUCAACCCUAGAACUGCCUUUAAUACUGGCAAUCUAGAGACCGAGAGAGGUGAGUGGAAUUCCGAGUGUAGAGGUGAAAUUCGUAGAUAUUCGGAGGAACACCAGUGGCGAAGGCGGCUCACUGGCUCGGUACUGACGCUGAGGUGCGAAAGCGUGGGGAGCAAACAGGAUUAGAAACCCUUGUAGUCC
rnacentral:rRNA from 1 species